AGGGAGUGUUUGCAAUCACUAAA
rnacentral:miRNA from 1 species